UGAACGCUAGCGGCAGGCUUAACACAUGCAAGUCGAGGGGUAUAGUUCUUCGGAGCUAGAGACCGGCGCACGGGUGCGUAACGCGUAUGCAAUCUACCUUUUACAGAGGGAUAGCCCAGAGAAAUUUGGAUUAAUACCUCAUAGUAUGUGAGAAUCGCAUGGUUUUCACAUUAAAGUUCCAACGGUAAAAGAUGAGCAUGCGUCCCAUUAGCUAGAUGGUAAGGUAACGGCUUACCAUGGCGACGAUGGGUAGGGGUCCUGAGAGGGAGAUCCCCCACACUGGUACUGAGACACGGACCAGACUCCUACGGGAGGCAGCAGUGAGGAAUAUUGGACAAUGGGCGCAAGCCUGAUCCAGCCAUGCCGCGUGCAGGAUGACGGUCCUAUGGAUUGUAAACUGCUUUUGUACAGGAAGAAACACUCCCUCGUGAGGGAGCUUGACGGUACUGUAAGAAUAAGGAUCGGCUAACUCCGUG
rnacentral:rRNA from 1 species